rnacentral:rRNA from 1 species
UCCGUAGGGUGAACCUGCGGAAGGAUCAUUAUU